GAUGAACGCUGGCGGCGUGCCUAAUACAUGCAAGUCGAGCGAACGGACGAGAAGCUUGCUUCUCUGAUGUUAGCGGCGGACGGGUGAGUAACACGUGGAGAACCUACCUAUAAGACUGGGAUAACUUCGGGAAACCGGAGCUAAUACCGGAUAAUAUUUUGAACCGCAUGGUUCAAAAGUGAAAGACGGUCUUGCUGUCACUUAUAGAUGGAUCCGCGCUGCAUUAGCUAGUUGGUAAGGUAACGGCUUACCAAGGCAACGAUGCAUAGCCGACCCGAGAGGGUGAUCGGCCACACUGGAACUGAGACACGGUCCAGACUCCUACGGGAGGCAGCAGUAGGGAAUCUUCCGCAAUGGGCGAAAGCCUGACGGAGCAACGCCGCGUGAGUGAUGAAGGUCUUCGGAUCGUAAAACUCUGUUAUUAGGGAAGAACAUAUGUGUAAGUAACUGUGCACAUCUUGACGGUACCUAAUCAGAAAGCCACGGCUAACUACGUG
rnacentral:rRNA from 1 species